CCUACGGGAGGCAGCAGUGAGGAAUAUUGGUCAAUGGUCGCGAGCCUGAACCAGCCAAGUAGCGUGAAGGAGGACUGCCCUGCGUGUUGUAAACUUCUUUUGUAAAGGAAUAAAGUGAGGCACGUGUGCCUUUUUGUAUGUACUUUAUGAAUAAGCAUCGGCUAACUCCGUGCCAGCAGCCGCGGUAAUACGGAGGAUCCGAGCGUUAUCCGGAUUUAUUGGGUUUAAAGGGAGCGUAGAUGGGUUGUUAAGUCAGUUGUGAAAGUUUGCGGCUCAAACGUAAAAUUGCAAUUGAAACUGGCAGUCUUGAGUACAGUAGAGGUGGGCGGAAUGCGUGGUGUAGCGGUGAAAUGCUUAGAUAUCACGAAGAACUCCGAUUGCGAAGGCAGCUCACUGGACUGCAACUGACACUGAGGCUCGAAAGUGUGGGUAUCAAACAGGAUUAGAUACCCUAGUAGUC
rnacentral:rRNA from 1 species